AACGCACCUUGCGCUCCUUGGUAUUCCGAGGAGCAUGCCUGUUUGAGUGUCAUGUUAUUCUCAAUCCCUUCUGCUUUGCGGCGGUCGGGCUUGGAUUUGGAGGCUUUUGCUGGCUUCGCGGUCGGCUCCUCUUGAAUGCAUUAGCUGGGCUUGUGCUCGAUGCAACAGUGUAAUAAUUCCUUUUCACUGGUGUAACUUGCUAUUUCAAAGUCCGCUUCUAAUCGUCUCUUAUGAGACAUUAUAGGAGUGUUCACGCACUUCUUGACAUCUUUGACCUCAAAUCAGGUAGGAUUACCCGCUGAACUUAA
rnacentral:misc_RNA from 1 species